UCAAGUCCCGCGGGAGAGUCCGGCCUCGGCCGGCGCCGAAGGCGCAACACUGCCCGGAAUCGCUCAGGCAAAAGGACCGCGGGAAUAAC
rfam:Thiocapsa marina 5811 ctg472, whole genome shotgun sequence.